rnacentral:rRNA from 1 species
AGUGAACGCUGGCGGUAGGCCUAACACAUGCAAGUCGAACGGCCGCACAGUAAGAGCUUGCUCUUACGGGUGGCGAGUGGCGGACGGGUGAGGCAUACAUCGGCUUCUUCUUUUUCGUGGUGGACUACGUAGGGCCACUUCCGCUACUACCGCAUACGACCUACGGGUGAAUGCAGGGGAUCUUCGGACCUUGCGCGAUUGUAUUAGCCGAUGUCGGAUUAGCUAGUUGGCUGGGUAAAGGCCCACCAAGGCGACGAUCCGUAGCUGAUCUGAGAGGAUGAUCGGCCACACUGGAACUGAGACACGGUCCAGACUCCUACGGGAGGCAGCAGUGGGGAAUAUUGGGCAAUGGGCGAAAGCCUGAUCGAGCAAUACCGCGUGAGUGAAGAAGGCCUUCGGGUUGUAAAGCCCUUUUGUUGGGAAAGAAAAUCAGCAUAUGAAAACCCCGCUGUUCUGACGGUACCCAAAGAAUAAGCACCGGCUAACUUCGUG